rnacentral:rRNA from 1 species
GAUGAACGCUGGCGGCGUGCCUAAUACAUGCGAGUCGAGCGAACAGACGAGGAGCUUGCUCCUCUGACGUUAGCGGCGGACGGGUGAGUAACACGUGGAUAACCUACCUAUAAGACUGGGAUAACUUCGGGAAACCGGAGCUAAUACCGGAUAAUAUAUUGAACCGCAUGGUUCAAUAGUGAAAGACGGUUUUGCUGUCACUUAUAGAUGGAUCCGCGCCGCAUUAGCUAGUUGGUAAGGUAACGGCUUACCAAGGUGACGAUGCGUAGCCGACCUGAGAGGGUGAUCGGCCACACUGGAACUGAGACACGGUCCAGACUCCUACGGGAGGCAGCAGUAGGGAAUCUUCCGCAAUGGGCGAAAGCCUGACGGAGCAACGCCGCGUGAGUGAUGAAGGUCUUCGGAUCGUAAAACUCUGUUAUUAGGGAAGAACAAAUGUGUAAGUAACUAUGCACGUCUUGACGGUACCUAAUCAGAAAGCCACGGCUAACUACGUG